AGCAGCCGCGGUAAUUCCAGCUCCAAUAGCGUAUAUUAAAGUUGUUGCAGUUAAAAAGCUCGUAGUUGAAUUUCGGGGUCAGUAGGUUGGUCAUGCCUCUGGUAUGUACUGGUCUCACUGAUUCCUCCUUCCUGAUGAGCCAUAAUGCCAUUAAUUUGGUGUUGCGGGGAAUCUGGACUGUUACUUUGAAAAAAUUAGAGUGUUUAAAGCAGGCUAACGCUUGAAUACAUUAGCAUGGAAUAAUGAAAUAGGACGUUCGAUCUUAUUUUGUUGGUUUCUAAGAUUGACGUAAUGAUUAAUAGGGAUAGUUGGGGGCAUUAGUAUUCAAUUGUCAGAGGUGAAAUUCUUGGAUUUAUUGAAGACUAACUACUGCGAAAGCAUUUGCCAAGGAUGUUUUCAUUAAUCAAGAACGAAAGUUAGGGGAUCGAAGACGAUCAGAUACCGUCGUAG
rnacentral:rRNA from 1 species